rnacentral:lncRNA from 1 species
CAAAGCACAAAGUAAAGUCAAAGAAUUGAAAGAAUUUGCAUAAUCUGCAUUUAUUUAAUGUUGAGCAUACUUCUUGCUUAUUGUUCAGGCAUAUUAGCAUCAUGUUAUAGAUUGGUUACUAUACAGCUUAUUCUUUCUACUAUGCCUGAGUUAGACCUAGUGGGAAAGUCGGUGAUGUUGAGGCCGAACCCACUGGGAACUUUGUUGUAGUUCUCACCCCACUAUUUCCACAGAGCCGGGACCGAGUGAGCCGGCGAGCGACCGCGGUAAAGGUAUCGCACCGUAGUCAGAGGCCACCGGAGUUGGGUUACAUUUUGUUAGUAGCUACCCUAUGUUCAUCUUUCGUAUUUGAUGACUAGUGAUGUAAAGAAAAGAAUGUAAAGCUUAUUUUGAGGUAAAUGUGAUGUAAGAAAGAAAUGAUGAAAUUAUGUAAGGAAAUGCAAAGAAUCCUAACUGUAAGAGAUAGAUGCAAUGUAUAUGAUCUAAAAUGAAUCAUAUUACUUGUGAAUAUUUAGUUUCCUUUUUCUUUCACUAAUGGCUAUUGCUUACCCUCGUGUAAGCCGUUUGUGUAUGUUUUCGCUAGUGCAAUUCUUGAUUGAAUUUUGUACAUGUGAUGAGCCUUGGGCGGACAGGGGAAACUCUGUCCGUUCGGCGUCUGUUUGACGUGCUCGGGUCGGGCCAAAUUGGCAUCGGUCUCGGGGCGUGACA